AUUGAACGCUGGCGGCAUGCUUUACACAUGCAAGUCGAACGGCAGCGGGGGCUUCGGCCUGCCGGCGAGUGGCGAACGGGUGAGUAAUGCAUCGGAACGUGCCCAAGUCGUGGGGGAUAACGUAUCAAAAGGUACGCUAAUACCGCAUACGCCCUGAGGGGGAAAGCGGGGGAUUCUUCGGAACCUCGCGCGAUUGGAGCGGCCGAUGUCGGAUUAGCUAGUAGGUGAGGUAAAGGCUCACCUAGGCGACGAUCCGUAGCGGGUCUGAGAGGAUGAUCCGCCACACUGGGACUGAGACACGGCCCAGACUCCUACGGGAGGCAGCGGUGGGGAAUUUUGGACAAUGGGCGCAAGCCUGAUCCAGCCAUGCCGCGUGAGUGAAGAAGGCCUUCGGGUUGUAAAGCUCUUUCGGCCGGGAAGAAAUCGUGUUCUCUAACAUAGGACAUGGAUGACGGUACCGGACUAAGAAGCACCGGCUAACUACGUGCCAGCCGCCGCCGUAAUAC
rnacentral:rRNA from 1 species